rnacentral:rRNA from 1 species
GACGUAGGGCGCGAGCGUUGUCCGGAUUUAUUGGGCGUAAAGAGCUCGUAGGCGGCUUGUCGCGUCGUCCGUGAAAACCUGCAGCUCAACUGCAGGCUUGCGGUCGAUACGGGCAGGCUGGAGUUCGGUAGGGGAGACUGGAAUUCCUGGUGUAGCGGUGAAAUGCGCAGAUAUCAGGAGGAACACCGAUGGCGAAGGCAGGUCUCUGGGCCACUACUGACGCUGAGAAGCGAAAGCAUGGGGAGCGAACAGG